UCUGAUCUCAUUGAAACAAAGAAAGAUAGAGAUGAGCCAGUUUUGCUUAUUUUACUCUUUAAGGGAGUACGAAAGAACUCAGGUCUUUGGAUUUUUGUUUGGUGUAAUUCUGGAUCACUAGCAGUGAUCAUACUAAGUCUUUAGGCCUUGAUCCUGCAGAAAUGCUUAAUACUUAACAUAAUAGGAAUAGUUCUUCCCUCUGCAGCUUCUGCUCUAUACUGGAAUUUGUAUUUUUUCCUUCAGGUGCUGUUCCAGCCAAGGAUGCAGUUCUUCCUGACAUAUUACAGAACCUCUCUGGUUUGCAGUUUCACUUACAAGUUGCCUGCAUGAAGCUGGGGAUGGAUUCUUCAGACACAGAGUGAGCAGUAAGUGGCACAUUUAUGCCUUAGGUUGGAUGAAAUACUCUUGAAAACCUUCAGAAGACUACUUGGAAAAGAUACUGUUUUCAGUGAAGCUACAAGCAGGAAACUACCACUGGCCUGGGCAGGCACCUAUCCAAAGUUCAGGCAGUUGUUGUAGGCAGAGAGGUCUGUUGUUGACAGAGAGAUCUGCAGCCUUGAGAGAAAGGCAUGCUGUUGUUCUGUUCAUUUGCUGUCACUGCCAUGGAGAGAUCCUUUGACUCUCAGCAAAACAUGACCAGACCACAGUUGCUAAAACUGUCCAGUGUUGAAGUAAUUUAUGCAACCUGCUCCCUGUAUCACCAUAAUAGAGAGCAUCAGCACUUUUUGACUGUGGCCUUUGUACAACAGCUGUGCAUGCAUACAAAUAUAUGAAACAUUUAAGUGGUAGAAAAAUAAUAUAUAUUAAGAAAUUGCAGGAAGAAUCCUUUUAUGCAAUCAAUAUUGGAAAACAAAUUCUGGAUCUGCAUAUAAGUCUGUGGGAAAGGGUUAGUACCUUACUGGUUUUAGUCUUAAGAAGGAACUAUAUGUCCCCUUUUUAUGACACAAAAAAUAGAAUAUGGCAUCUGAGGAUGAAUAAUUCUGACUAUACACUCUGCCUUUUGUGUCAUCUUUUUUCCCCAAAAAGACAAGAAAAGCUGCCUGAGACAAACUUGUAUGUUGCGCUUUGCACUCACUGCAUUUCAUUGCUGCAGUAAGACAUGUACGUGAGCAGUAGCACAUACAUCAAAUUGUACAGGUCUGGGUUCAGUAUUGCCUCAUGAUCAAUUGACUUCUCCGUCCUUUAUUUCCAUUCCAUAGGUUUACAUAUUAUUUAAUUUUCUGCAUUAAAAAAACCUUCUGGCCAGGCAAACAGAUGUUUUGAAUCAGUAUCACAGGAUUCCUGCUGCCUGUAUUUCACUUGUCCUUGUGAUGAAGACAAAUGUGGAAGGUGAUCAUACAACAAUGCUGCAGGAUUGUUGUUUAUAUACAGGUUAUCUGAAAACUCCUGGGUUUUUCCAGUCCUUUGGGAAGGCGCUGGCAGAAGCAAUACGUUUUUGGAUGCAUGUGUUUAUUAUUCAUUGCAGGCUACCUAUGUCAGAGAUCACAUUGCCAGUGACAGUUCUUUUUAUCCUUUCGCUAGCAGGGCGUCAAGUACAUGCUGGAUGGGAAGCAUGUGGUGUAAAAUACUGUGGUGAGUACGUGCAGGGCCACUUAGGUGAUACUUUUAGAAAUGAUUUAAACUAAUCUAAGAUGAUACUGUUGUCAAACUGUAUGUGGCCGUAGGUUCCUGUCUCACUAGUUUGCUGCUGCUGCAGUCAUGCAGCUGAGCAGCCAGUAACAGCAGUAAACUGGCCCAGGAGUAAGUCAGGUUUUUUGUAGGUUUAUGUUUUUGCCAAACUAACCAGGCUUAACUAGAGGACAUAGAAGGGACCUUUUUAUUAUUAUU